rnacentral:rRNA from 1 species
UACAGAGACCUCAAGCGUUAUCCGGAAUCAUUGGGCGUAAAGCGUACCGAUCGGUGGUUUUACAAGUCAGAGGUGAAAUUCCAAGGCUCAACCUUGGGUCUGUCCUUUGAAACUGUAAAACUAGAGGGACAAAGAGGAAGCUAGAACUAACGGUGUAGGGGUAAUAUCCGUUGAUAUCGUUAGGAAUACCGAUAGCGAAGGCAGGCUUCUGGGUGUCACCUGACACUGCUAGGACGAAAGCGUGGGGAGCAAAAAGG